UCUGAGACUUGGGCAGAAGCAGUCCUGAAAGUGCUUCCCAGGUUCCUGGGAGGUGAGUCCCCAGAUAACAGGGCUCCCUGCGAGGGCGUGGCUCUAGAGUCACUUGCUGAAGAGAUUAGAUAGGACUCAGAUCCUGUCACCUGUUGUGGGAAUUCAG
rnacentral:sRNA from 1 species